AGUGAACGCUGGCGGUAGGCCUAACACAUGCAAGUCGAACGGCAGCACAGUAAGAGCUUGCUCUUACGGGUGGCGAGUGGCGGACGGGUGAGGAAUACAUCGGAAUCUACUUUUUCGUGGGGGAUAACGUAGGGAAACUUACGCUAAUACCGCAUACGACCUACGGGUGAAAGCAGUGGAUCUUCGGACCUUGCGCGAUUGAAUGAGCCGAUGUCGGAUUAGCUAGUUGGCGGGGUAAAGGCCCACCAAGGCGACGAUCCGUAGCUGGUCUGAGAGGAUGAUCAGCCACACUGGAACUGAGACACGGUCCAGACUCCUACGGGAGGCAGCAGUGGGGAAUAUUGGACAAUGGGCGCAAGCAUGAUCCAGCCAUACCGCGUGGGUGAAGAAGGCCUUCGGGUUGUAAAGCCCUUUUGUUGGGAAAGAAAAGCAGCAGGUUAAUACCCCGCUGUUCUGACGGUACCCAAAGAAUAAGCACCGGCUAACUUCGUG
rnacentral:rRNA from 1 species